rnacentral:lncRNA from 1 species
AAGGGUCAUUGUUAUGGGAUUACUGGGACGUGAGAGAAGACUUCCUGAGCAUGAGAGGAUGGGCAGCCCUGAAGCAGGCAAAGGAAAAGUGGCACGGCAGGAAGCAAGUCAGAUGAGGGGGCCUGGUUUGUGCGAGAACAUGACAAACCAGUGUUCCUGAAGCCUAAAGGGAAGGUGAGACAAGGCAGAGGAGGCUGGCGGGGCCAGGUCACGGAGUCUCCUGUGCCACACUGAGAGUCUGGGCUUGAGCUUGUGGAGAGCCCAAGGAUGAAAACAGAGAAGUAAUUAAUGGCAGCUUUCCUGGGCCAGAAGAAUAAAUAAGGAAUUAUCUUACAAACAGCAACCAUGAAAUUAGAAGUUUGGUAAAACAUGUUGCAGAAGAACCAGGAAACACAUUGCAAUUGAGCCUGCUGGGUGCUGCUGCAAGUUUGGGGGUGAACAGGAGAAUCAGGUUCUUAUAGAACUGGGCAGAGUGGCUCACACCUACAAUCCCCUAGGAGGGAAGGACAAAGGCAUCCAUAUCACCUCGCCACAGUGGUUGUGGUGGAAGCUGUAGCACUGAAGAGAUGCAGCCCCAUGGAAGAUGCUGCCAAGAGAGGGAGACAGAGCUACGUCUGGUGUCUCCCUUCCUCCUUACCUGGUGCCUCCCUCCUCCUGUCCUCCUGUCUCCCUUCAGAUGAAGGAACUGAUGCUGAGACUUGCACUCUACCAUAGGCGGAAGCACCCACCACCCUGUUCCCAGCCCUGGAAGGGCAAGGAAUGAAUCUGAGGCAAAUAGGGCCAGCACUGGCAGUCUGCUCGAUUUUCCCUCAGAGCAUUUAUCUUCCUUGACAUAUUUACAAUUUUUUGUCUAUUUUUGGUUUCUCUAACUUGACUAGAAUGUAAGAUCCACAAGGCUUGGGCUUUGCUCUUUUGUUCACUAUGUCCAUAGCUCCUGUAACAGUGCCUAAAACAUAGUAGGCAAUCAAUAGAUAUUCUUUGGAUAAACAAAUAUGCCUCAACAUUGAGUCUAACUUACAGCAGACAUUGAAUAAAUAUCUAUUGAAUG